rnacentral:rRNA from 1 species
CGGGUAGCCGGCCUGAGAGGGUGAUCGGCCACACUGGGACUGAGACACGGCCCAGACUCCUACGGGAGGCAGCAGUGGGGAAUAUUGCACAAUGGGCGGAAGCCUGAUGCAGCGACGCCGCGUGGGGGAUGACGGUCUUCGGAUUGUAAACUCCUUUCAGUAGGGACGAAGCGAGAGUGACGGUACCUGCAGAAGAAGCACCGGCCAACUACGUGCCAGCAGCCGCGGUAAUACGUAGGGUGCGAGCGUUGUCCGGAAUUACUGGGCGUAAAGAGCUCGUAGGCGGUUUGUCACGUCGUCUGUGAAAUCCUCCAGCUCAACUGGGGGCGUGCAGGCGAUACGGGCUGACUUGAGUACUACAGGGGAGACUGGAAUUCCUGGUGUAGCGGUGAAAUGCGCAGAUAUCAGGAGGAACACCGGUGGCGAAGGCGGGUCUCUGGGUAGUAACUGACGCUGAGGAGCGAAAGCAUGGGGAGCAAACAGGAUUAGAUACCCUGGUAGUCCAUGCCGUAAACGGUGGGCGCUAGGUGUGGGGUCCUUCCACGGAUUCCGUGCCGUAGCUAACGCAUUAAGCGCCCCGCCUGGGGGGAA